AACGAACGCUGGCGGCGUGGAUAAGACAUGCAAGUCGUACGAGGAACCUUGAAGCUUGCUUUGACGGUUUCCUAGUGGCGCACGGGUGAGUAACACGUGAGUUACAUGCCCUGAAGUGGGGGAUAGCCCGGGGAAACCCGGAUUAAUACCCCAUGGUCCCGCAAGGGUAAAGAUGGCGUAAGCUGUCGCUUCAGGAUUGGCUCGCGGCCUAUCAGCUAGUUGGGGGGGUAACGGCCCACCAAGGCGACGACGGGUAGCUGGUCUGAGAGGACGAUCAGUCACACUGGAACUGAGACACGGUCCAGACACCUACGGGUGGCAGCAGUCGAGAAUCAUUCACAAUGGGGGCAACCCUGAUGGUGCAACGCCGCGUGGAGGAUGACGGUCUUCGGAUUGUAAACUCCUGUCAUCUGGGAGUAAGACCUGGCUGUGAAUAGCAGACAGGGUUGAUAGUACCAGAAGAGGAAGGGACGGCUAACUUCG
rnacentral:rRNA from 1 species